UACGAGGGGGGCAAAUGUUGUUCGGAAUCACUGGGCGUAAAGGGAGCGUAGGCGGGUUUCUCAGUCAGGUGUUUAAUCCCGGGGCCCAACCCCGGACAGGCACUUGAAACUGGGAAUCUUGAAUAGUGGAGAGGUCAGUGGAAUUGGGGGUGUAGCGGUGGAAUGCGUAGAGAUCCCCAAGAACACCAGUUGCGAAGGCGGCUGACUGGACACAUAUUGACGCUGAGGCUCGAAAGCAUGGGGAGCAAACAGG
rnacentral:rRNA from 1 species